AGAAGAGAACCGGAAAAAUAAAUGAAUAAGAAUCGCCCUUUCCCUCUCUCUUAACCAUCCUCCUCUCCUUCUCCUACCCUCGCGAACUCUCCCGGUCCCGUCCUUUCCCGAGAAAAUGCCCGAGCUGGAGGACGACGGCCCCGGCCGCACCCGCCGCGACAGCCCGUCGGCGGCAGCGGCGGCCCGGGGGAGUCCAUCAUGGACCUCGACCUCGACGUCUACAGUCCCUGGCCAACGAUGGAUCAGCAGCUCCCCUUCGGCGCUUUCCUGUCCGCCUCCGACCAGCCCAGCUCCCCUCUCUGGGCCUUAUCCUGCGGGUUCGAGGACAAGCUAGCCGCCGCACCCCGCCGCCGCCGGCGGGGUCCGCCUCUCCGAUUGCUCUCGAUCGUCACAAUUCAGAAACCAAAGUCCCUGCUGAGGAGAGUGAUCGUAAAAAGCUGCCAUCGCCAUAUUUGGGGCUGACGGCAUCUGUAUCAUCAAGGUAAGGAUGACCCAGGCUCUUCGUUACUUAAAAGAAUCCACUGAGCAGCUUGAUCUGGCUCAGGUUUGGGCUCCAGUAAAGAAUGGUGAUCGGUACAUCCUCACGACUUCAGGGCAACCCUUUGUUCUUGGUGCAGAUACUAAUGGGCUUCACCCGCACAGAACGGUGUCUAUGAUGUAUUUGUUUUCUGCGGACGGGGGGAAUGAUGGAGAACUGGGACUUCCUGGUCCUGUUUUCUGGCGAAAGCUGCCUGAAUGGACUUUUAAUGUACAAUACUACACCAGCAAAGAAUAUUUAAGGCUCGAUCAUGCUCUUCAUUAUAAUGUUCAGGGAACCUUGGCUUUGCCCGUCUUUGAACCAUCGGGCCAAUCUUGUGUGGGUGUUCUUGAACUCAUUAUGACUUCACAGAAGAUUAACUACGCACCGGCGGUCGAUAAUCUGCAAAGCACUUGAGGUUGGGUUUCUUUAAAAA